rnacentral:antisense_RNA from 1 species
AAUUUUGGCCUGCAAAGACUUCCUUCUCUCGCCUCUACUACCCAACUCCUGUGAGGGACUCAGGCAUAGUUCGGGCGGAGGCAGAAAGAGCGAGCGCGCGAAGAACUUCGGUAUCGAGGGAGAGCGCUUGUGACGCUACGAACCUCUCGAACACCUGACGACUGGGCGCCAGGGCCGGAUGGAGGGUGGAGAGCCAGUGCGGCGCAGCGGCCUCCUCUUAACGGGGACACCUUGCAGGAAUGUGCGGAGUGGAGCUAACGGGAGCGGAUAGAAACCGAGGGAGGGGAAGAGAGCGCGAAGGCUUGGCCGGAAGGAGAGGUUAAAAAGGAAAGGCCUAAAAUGAGGAAGAGAGUUACCACAACAAGCAGUACCUAGUUCCAGUUCUUGGUCCCAGGAGUUUGUGGUUGUUGCUGCUUUCAUCUUCCUCAGCCAACACAAAAGGAAAGUGCCAAGGGGCGAUUCCUAGGACCUUCAGUGCAGUCUCCACCUUGCGGACUUGGCUCGUUUGUGUCCACUCCUUUCUCCAGCCUUUUACACUUGAUGCUCUUGGAUG